CGGACCCUUAUCUGAUGGCGGUUUGCAACUGGACCCUAAUCUGAGUGGCAUUUAGCAACCAGCACCUUAUCUGAGUGGCCGUUUGCUACCGGGCCCUUAUCUAAGUGGCAGUUUGCAACCAGACCCUUUUCUGAAUGGCAGUUUGCAACCGGACCCUUAUCUGAACGGCAGUUUACAACCAGCACCUUAUCUCAGUGGCAGUUUGCAUCCGGACCCUUAUCUGAGUGGCAGUUUGCAUCCGGACCCUUAUCUGAGUGGCAGUUUGUAACCAGCAUCUUAUCUGAGUGGCAUUUUGCAACCAGCACCUUAUCUGAGUGGCAUGUUGCAACCAGCACCUUAUCUGAG